UAAUCUAAACACACCCAAGAGCUGUCAGGGAAGGACGUUUCUCAGUAGUUUAUAUAGUUCUAGGCAGUUUUUCUCUGCCCUGCCCUUGCAGAAAGCAUUUUUCCACUUGCCAGCUCAGCUCACACUUGUAGCAGGUGAGGCUGACUGCUGCCAAACUUCCCACAGGACCUGAGGACUGAUCUGUGCCAUCAUAUAUUUCUGAAAAACAAGCAAAGAUGAUGUCUGCUGUCUCCUUCCUCAGCAGUCUUGCCAGGGAAGUGAUUUGAUUGCUGCGUGGUGAGCACUCCAGGGGGACACAAAACCAGGAUCCACGGGUGGCCAUUUUCUGAGGUGCUUUCAGAGCACAGGGGCUCUGGCUGCUGGAGCUGGACUCUUGGGAUGAAGGAAGGUUUUGGCCCUAGCACGGCCGUGAAAACAGAAUGACCUGCAGGUGUGAGUUCUGUCUUCACUUAGUUGACUACAAGAUUCAAUGAUUCCGUUUCCAGUGGAACCAGGAGCAGAGUUCACCUUAAUGCAAGAAAAGAUUAUAGAUUAUUUUUGUGGACGGUUCCAAUUGCUCAUCAUUAUUAUCUGCAUUAUUAUUAUUUAUGAUCUAUUUAUGAAGACCAGGCCUUUCCACACCAAACAGUCCCUACAGGUUCUGCUCUGUGUGUCCCUGGAUUGUGUGGAGCAGCGAGCUGUAGAUGGAUAUGGCACCAUCACCACCAGAUCUGCAGAAAUGGACAGUACUUCUUUAUGGGUGGUUCUCCUGUAGGCAUUUUACUGGUCAAAUACCCUUCCUGCUGCAGAUGCAAUGACUUCACAUAAAUAGAUAAAUGUGAUGCUGUGUCAUCAGGGCUCAGAUAUUCCUGACCUGGCUCUUCUGCACAGACACCACAGGUAGAGCAUCUUGCCCAGGUGUGGAGUAUCUGUUGGGAUGGGAUCUUGAGUACUUUAGCAUAAAACACACCUGUAAGGUCUCCCACACCAAGCAAUUCACCGCAGCAUUACUGGUCAGCCAGACCAGGAUGUGUUUUUGGAGGAAACAUGCCUUAGGUAAAAUCUGUUCACAGGGCAAACCACUUCUCCUGCAAGAGGCAUUUCUUCUGCAGUUCUCCACAUCUGGACCUACCACUAGAAGACUGAAGACUGAAUGUCUGAAAUGCUUUGGGAACCAGAAGGGAAUAAACAGAUACCCUGGGAGGAUUGCUGGUAUGUAUACUUACCCGUGAUUGCCCUUGGAGACACACCGGUGUCCUCAUUCAGUUCA